AUGAACGCUGGCGGCGUGCUUAAUACAUGCAAGUCGAACGAAGACAGUAGCAAUAUUGUCUGAGUGGCGAACGGGUGAGUAACGCGUUGGUGACCUGCCCCGAAGAGAGGGAUAACAGUCCGAAAGGAUUGCUAAUACCCCAUGUGGUCAUUUGGAUUAGAUGCCUUAUGACUAAACGGAUUUAUUCGCUUCGGGAGGGGCCUGCGUCCCAUCAGCUAGUUGGUAAGGUAAUGGCUUACCAAGGCGAUGACGGGUAGGGGGCCUGAGAGGGUGGCCCCCCACAAUGGAACUGAAACACGGUCCAUACACCUACGGGUGGCAGCAGUAGGGAAUAUUGGUUAAUCUGGGAAACCGGGAACCAGCAACGCCGCGUGCACGAUGAAGGCCUUCGGGUUGUAAAGUGCUUUUAAGGGAGAUGAGAAAGGACAGUAUCCCUUGAAUAAGCCUCGGCGAACUACGU
rnacentral:rRNA from 1 species